UGGGGCAUAGCUCAACUGGUAGAGCGCCGGUCUCUGAAACCGGAGGUUGAAGGAUCGUACCCUUCUGCCCCAGCCA
rnacentral:tRNA from 1 species